AUGGGCUCCUGUUCAUACAGCCACCACCACACACUCCUCCACCGGCUACUGUUCAACCAGCCCUCUCCACGGGGUCCUGUUCAACCACCCCUCCACGGGCUACUGUUCAUCCAGCCCUCCACCGGCUACUGUUCAAUCAGCCCUCCAUCGGCUACUGUUCAACCUUCCCACCAAGGGGUCCUGUUCAUCCAGCCCUCCACGGGGGGCCUGUUCAUCCACGCCCAACCGGCUCGAUCAAUCUGGUCCUGUUCAUCCAACGGCAACACCGCGGGGUCCUGUGGGGACAACAUGCUAAUUGAACAUUGUAAAACAAGGGACAUGCUGACUUGGGGUUCUGAUGCUAGAGCUAGCAUAGUUAACCACGACCAAAAUCUGGACAGCAGCCAACAUGCAGUCAAGGAUGGGGUAGAUUCUACUGUUCAAAAGACUCACAAGGCAUCUUUUGUUGAACUUGAUGUAGCUUCAUCCACCCCGGGUGAGGUGAACGAGUCAUGGAAAUGCAAAUUUGACCAUUCAGAGGUCUGCAUUAGUUUGGACAAGGUUUUCAAAAUGGUUGAGGAUAAAUGUCUCCGCUCGUACAAAACCCUACCUCCUGAUUUUUCUGUUGGCAAGCUGAUGAAUGAGAUAUGCCAAUAUGUUGCGGAGUCACGUGCUGUGCAUUUUGAAGCUCAAAACAAUGGUGGCAGCUUGCAAGGACAUGCUUUGGAGACGUAUGCUCCCUUUGUGAAGCUAAUCACUUGUAAGCAUGUUGUUGAUGGGAAUGGUAAUGCUGCCGUAGGAUCAUCCUUGAAACCUAGCUUUCAAAAUUGGGUAGUUGCUUAUCAGCCUCAGGAAGCACUUUUUAAGCAAAGGCCACAACAUGAUGUUGCUAACAUAACCAAGGGAGAAGAAUGA
rnacentral:rRNA from 1 species